ensembl:lncRNA
GGGGUCGAAGGUGGAUUUGGAGGUCAAAGGUCAACUCUGCGGGGUCAAAGGUCAUCGUUGGGGGGUCAAAGGUCAAAGAUUGGAGGGUCAAAGGUCAGAUUUUGGGGUCAAAGGUCAAAGUUGGGGGUCAGAGGUCAACGCUGGGGUCAAAGUUCGUCGCUUGGGGGUCGGAGGUCCCACAUUUGGGGUCAAAGGUCACAGAUUGGGGUCAAGGUGACAGAUUGAAGGUCAAAGGUCAACGUUGGGGUCCAAAGUUCCACAUUUGGGGUCAGAGGUCACGAUUCGGGGGUCAAAGGUCAACAUUGGGGUCAAAGGUUGGGUGGGAAAGUCAUCAUUCUGGGGGUCAAAGGUCAACAUUUUGGGGUUCAAGUCCAAAAUUUGGGGUCAGAGGUCACGGAUUGGGGUCAAAGGUCGCCGUAUUUUGGGUGGGGUCAUCACCUGGGGGUCAAAGGUCAAGAUUGAGGGUAAAAGGUCACAUUUUGAGGGGUCAAAGGUCACAGGUCCGGCUCGCAUGGACAUUUUGGGGUCAGAGGUCACGGAUUCGAGGUCAAAGGUCACUGAUUACGGCAGCAAAGGAUGCGGACGUGGGGUCAAAGGUCAGCGAUUCCGGCACCAAAGCUCCGAAGUAAAGCGAUUUUCUCCGAUCGCCGUCUUGCCGACCGGAAGCGUUCCGAAGAGACCGGAAGUAGUCAGAACCGCCGCACGAAGGGAGCCGAAAGGACACGAAGGGGUUUCAUAACACCGAAGGCUCAGCGAAGAUUUCCGAAUUGAGUCGAACGGUUCCGAAAGGAGGCGAAGCGUCCCGAUCUGUUCCCGAAGUGUUCCGAGAAGACCGGAAGUGCUCUGAAAUGCUCGCAGCUGACCCGAAGUAUUCCGAAGUUUUCCGAAGGAACAGGAAGUGCUCGAAACAGUUCCGAAUUGCUCCGAACAGUUCCGAACGCUUCCGAUGUGCUCCGAAGUGACCGGAAGUGCUCCGUAGAGACCGGAAAUGCUCCGAAGAGUUCCGAAAUGAUCCGAACCGCUCUGAAGUCCCCGGAUGUCUUCCGAAAUGACCGGAAGUGCCUCCAGAUGAUACCGAAGUGAGCCGAAGAAAUCCGAUAAGACCGGAAGUGCCCGAAAACCCACCGGAAAUGCAUCGAAAAGAUCGGAACUGAACCGAGGUAUUCCGAAAAGACCGGAAGUGCUAUGCAGGGACCGGAAGUACUCCGAAGAGUUCCGAAGUGAUCCGAAUCGCUCUGAAGUCCCCGGAUGUCUUCCGAAAUGACCGGAAGUGCCUCCAGAUGAUAACGAAGUGAGCCGAACAAAUCCGAAAAGACCGGAAGUGCCCCAAAGCCCACCGGAAAUGCAUCCAAAUGAUCGGAACUGAGCCGAGGUAUUCCGAAAAGACCGGAAGUGCUACUUAGUGACCGGAAGUACUCCGAAAAGUUCCGAAGUGAUCCGAAUCGGUCUAAAGUCCCCGGAUGUCUUCCGAAAUGACCGGAAGUGCCUCCAGAUGAUACCGAAGUGAGCCGAACAAAUCCGAAACGACCGGAAGUGCCCGAAAACCCACCGGAAGUGCAUCGAAAUGAUCGGAACUGACCCGAGUAAUUCCGAAGAGACCGGAAGGGCAUCGUAGGAACCGAAAGUGCU